AUACCUUUCUCGGCCUUUUGGCUAAGAUCAAGUGUAGUAUCUGUUUUUAUCAGUUUAAUAUCUGAUUUGUGAGCCAAUGGCUCACACGAUAUUAAAUUUUUCCCAAACCUAGUUCAAGAUUUUCAAUUCUAGAUCAAUAACACUGUUGUUCCAGUCCCAAGUAAACCACAAUUAUUAACAAAUC